AUUGACAUUCAGUAAAACGUGAAUGAAGUUCUGAACUCACAGAACUGAAAUAAUGAAAGAUGCUGCAGGAGCAGUGGAGAUGUUCAGCCUCUUCUUCUUCUGUGGUGUCUAAUAUCAGCACAUCAGAGCAGAGCGUGUCCACGACUCGUCCUCUGAUGGAUGAUGAGUCCGAGUGGUUAAUAUUCAACAGGUCGAUACACGUCGACGCCCUGAUGCCUGAGGGUCGUUGUUCAGAGGUCAGAGGUCAGACUGUGUUUAGUUUUAAUGAGUCGUCUGUUGAUUUACUGAAGUUAAAUCAGUGACGAUGACGAAGGAGCAGCUUCACUCACUGAUGUUCCUGUUUCUAACAGACACAACAACAAACACUGUCCUGUGAGAAACUGAAUGCAGCGUUAAUGACCAUCAGUUAUACACUACUUUUCAUGAUGCAUUGUGGGAUACUAUUGGUGCGUUCAAUGUCCAUCAGAGUCUGAGGUAACGUCUCCCCAGAGAAACAUGGCUCAGAAUCAGCUCAGGUGUGAAGAACAGCUCAGCUGUUCACAUUAGAGUUUAACACAAACACUUUAAACCUGGAACAUUAAACCAUGAAGGUGAACUGAUUCAGUCGUAUCUCAGACUAGCUGUUGUUAGCAACAGUUGCUAACAUCGCUCUACAAACAGCGUAGCAACAUGUCCACAGAUAAACCUGAACAGUUCAACAAAACGAUUCAAAGAGUUUUUUAUAUAAAACUUGAAUGAAGAUGAAUGAGAACAGUCAGAGAGUUUUACUGAGUUGUUCAUCGUCCUCUGAGUGAUUUCAGACUCUAACUGAAGGGAGUUGUGAGGAGUUGUGGUGACCUGAGCUGCAGUGAUGCAUUCUGGGAGGUCGGUGCAGGAAAUCCUCCUGAGGACUGUUUCCUGUCUGCGUCUCAUCACUCAGCUCGUACUGCUUCAUUAACAGCUGUCAGAGGUCAGAGGUCACCGUGUGUGUUGUUGUGUGAUGUGUGUGUGUUUAAUGACGACGCAGGAGGAAACUGUUUUGACCUUUUCUUUGUCUGAUGGUGUUUGAGUCGACCUGCAGCUCCUCUCUGCUGCUUUUAUCUCUGCUCUCAUUAACAGGCAAAUGUCAAUGUUGCAGCAGCUGGAGACACACACACACACACACACACACACACACUGUCCACAGCUACACUCAGCUCACAUCAUCAGGAGUAAACACACUUGUUUGUUUCCUGCUUUAAAGUUUCUUUAAAGAGAACUUUCUCUUUAUUCUCAGUUUGUCUGAAUAAACAUCGAGGCCGAACAACGUCACACACACACACACACACACACACACACACACACACACACUGUUUAUUCACGACAAGCAGAGAAGAAGACGACAGAGGACACCCCACCCCCCCCGGUUCACCUUCAGGAGAAAAAUGAGCUCAGCUCAGAGUCAGGUUUCAGUCGAGCUGUCGUGCCGUUUCCUCCUGGACUGAAAUAACUGAGGAGCCUGAGGCGUCGUCACCUCCUCCUCCUCCUCCUCCUCCUCCACCUCUCACUGAGUCUGUGACACUGACGGACUCGUUAACAGACACCUCCCAUCACCAUCAAACCACCGCCGCACGCCAACCGCCAGAAAUAACCCAGGAACAUGUGACACCUCCACGCCACUCUCCAGGGGGAUGGGGUGGGGUGGGGUUCCUCAGUGAAGCUGCAGCUAACGAUUAUUGAUCAGUUCAUUGAUCAGCUCACAUGAAAUCACCUGUUAUCAACAGUUUCCUGUUGAUCAGCUGAACACUGAGUAAAUUAAUUAUGUUUUACCUUAAAGUCCUGUGUCUCAGAGGUAAACAAACAAACAAACACAUUCAUCAGUGGAACAGUUUUAAAGAAGCAGUCAGACAGUUUCAGUGUGAUUCGGCUUCACCACAGAAUUUGUUGUUUUCUUCAUGUUUGUUUGUUUGUUGUUUUUCUGCUCAGCUGAUGUCAGAGAGUCAGAGAGGAUCCGUCAACAGGACAACCGAGCUUCUUGUCUGCAGCUUUGACCCAGAGUCCGAACAUCAGCUUCACAGUGGAAGAGCUGAAGGAGGAGGAGGAGCUGCUUGUCUUUUUCACCAUGAGUUUGUCCCUGAGGUUCAGACAGCUGCUCCAGUCUGAGCUUCACGACCUGGACCAACUCUCUGACCAGCUCAGACAUGAUCCACUGCACCAGCUUUGAUUUGAUUUUUUGGUUCAACAUGUUGACAUGGUUUUCAGCUCCCCUCCCUCUCUACUCACAGGAUUUGAACCUGCGACUUCUUCUUCUGAAACUUGAGCUGCAGAGUCGUUGUUCUCUGGUGAAGGUCGAUUCUCUGACAGAACAGGAGCGUUUCCUAUUUGACAGGUGCAGUGUGUUUUGUCCUCGUCAGCCACCGUAGUCGGACAGCUGCAACAUUUAAAUCAGGUCAACUACAUCUUGGAUCUGGUCCUGGUCCACUCCAGUCUGGCUGUGCCCUCGGAUCAGGUCUUGAAGUCUCUCCACAGGUGUCGACAUCUUAAACCUGCAGGACUCACACCAGGACCUGGAUCCAGACCAGGACUGAGCCGCCACACAACGGCUUUCUUUCUCUCUCUCCUCUCCUCCUCUUUCAUUGUAAAUUCAGAACUUUUACUUGUAAUAAAGUAUUUUUACUCUGUCAGACUGUUACUGUAAUACUGCCACUGAACGUGACUCCUAAUAAAGUUAACCUCUGACCUCUGACCUUUCUCUGAUUCUGUGUAUAUGUGGUUAGGGUUAGGGUUAGCUGAAACUGGCUAGGGUUAGGGUUAGGGUUAGGGUUACCUGAAAGUGGCUAGGGUUAGGGUUAGCAGAAACUGGCUAGGGUUAGGGUUAGCUGAAACUGGCUAGGGUUAGGGUUAGGGUUAGCUGAAACUGGCUAGGGUUAGGGUUAGGGUUAGGGUUACCUGAAAGUGGCUAGGGUUAGGGUUAGGGUUAGCUGAAACUGGCUAGGGUUAGGGUUACCCGAAAGUGGCUAGGGUUAGGGUUAGCUGAAACUGGCUAGGGUUAGGGUUAGGGUUACCUGAAAGUGGCUAGGGUUAGGGUUAGGGUUAGCUGAAACUGGCUAGGGUUAGGGUUACCCGAAAGUGGCUAGGGUUAGGGUUAGGGUUAGCUGAAACUGGGUUAGGGUUAGGGUUACCUGAAAGUGGCUAGGGUUAGGGUUAGCUGAAACUGGCUAGGGUUAGGGUUAGGGUUAGGGUUAGGGUUACCUGAAAGUGGCUAGGGUUAGGGUUAGGGUUAGCUGAAACUGGCUAGGGUUAGGGUUAGCUGAAACUGGGUUAGGGUUAGGGUUAGCUGAAACUGGUUAGGGUUAGGGUUACCUGAAAGUGGCUAGGGUUAGGGUUAGGGUUAGCUGAAACUGGCUAGGGUUAGGGUUAGGGUUAGAGUUAGCUGAAACUGGCUAGGGUUAGGGUUAGGAGAAACUGUUCUGUGGCUAAAAGUACCCAUUUUGGAGAAGCUGAUUUGGUAAAGGUUAUUGAAAUUAAAGUUUAAU